rnacentral:lncRNA from 1 species
GGUUGAUUGCUUAUUGUCUUUGCUCUCAAGUCCCAUGCUGAUCCUUUCAAGGCUUGGGAAAUACACAGCAUUUCAGAGUGGGACUUUUUUUUGUUUGUUUGCUAAGUUUUUCAUUCUAUCCUACCUGUAGGAAGGACUCUCUGGGGAUGUUGGAUGGGUAGCUUUGAGUAAGAAGGCAAAGAGAAGCAGUGCCCAGUGCAUAAGGGUGCUAACUGAGCAUGCUGCUGCAACCGCUCCAUGCCUGCACACUUGACCAUCGGCAGGCCCUGCCUUCAGGAACAUUAAAUUCACUUGUAAAAGCCAGCAGUGCACUUUUCUGUAAACAAACUUCUUAAAUACCUUCUUUAUUGAUUGCAAAAAAAAAAAAAGUCAGUCACUUGUAAAUUUUCCUCUGUGAUUUGUUUUAAAGAUAUUUAUUUUCUAUUUUACUCUAGAAACUACAUGCAAAGGUUAUUUUAGAAAGGAAUAUAAUAAGACAAAUAUUAUUCAUAUUGACUUAAGUUUUUUUUUAAGUUUCAUCUUCUUGGUUUAAAGACAUCAGGGUCAGUUAAAGAAGUGCUGCUUUGCUUAACAGUUUUAGGAAAUUAGUAUCUACUUCUAGUUAAAGUGCUAUAAAAAUCAAAUCAUUAUAAUUUCUCCUAAAAUAAAUUUUAAUAAAAAUGUUUAUUUAAUAACAUGUUAAGGAUAAUAAUUCAGGGAGGGAUAUGUUAACAGGAAAACGGUUUUCUUUAAAAUAGUGGUUUGUAAAACCUUAUAAACGCUAAUCCCGCUAAGAUUGAUUUCAAUCGGCUUUAUUUCAAAGGCUGAGUGAGUCUUGGGAUGCAAGGUUUUGCAGAAAAAUAUUCAGGAAAGAUGAUUGUAUUCCUUGAAGGAAAGAAGAAAUGUAAUGUUACUGUUCCUGACUUCUGAGGUUAGACCAUUUUAUUUUUACAUGCGGCUGAUUUUAGACUACUUUUUUUUCUGGAUUUACAUUUUUAAGUAAAAUAGGCUCCUUUCUCCGUGUUGAGCCUAAACAUAAUGUUGAUUUCAUCUUCCUUCUUUUUAUUUUUUUCUCUUCCUCUUCCUCUUCCUCCUUCUUAUUCUUCCAACAACAUUCAUUUACUGAAACAACAAUUUAAGUAACAUCCUAUACUAAAGGCCACAUUAAUGAGAAAGACAGGGCAAAGAUAACUGUCCUGUGAUACAUAUAGUGGGAGUAAAAUGGUACAUGUAAUGGUAGGGAAAACAUUACAAACGGCAAGGGUAAUUUUACUCAUAUAUCACAACAAAAAUAAAGCACCAUCCAAAUGUUGGCAGUCAGCAUAUAUCAUAUGCUAUGAUAUAUAUCUAUGAUAUCUAUAUCUAUCUAUCUAUCUAUCUAUCUAUCUAUCUAUCUAUCAUAGAAGUGUGUGCUGAGAUAAAUGAAACAUGUAGAAAUAUUACACAAAGAGUGACCAGAAAAUAGCACAGAACUUAGUGUCUGGCUGAAGGACAUGAAACAUCCCCAAAGUCAACUGGCAACAACAUUACACCAGAUUAAUGUGGUGAACUUAGCUCCCCCUAUGCUAAAAAUUGUAUGUGAGUUUCUCCUUCACUGUUGUUUACCUCAAUAUGUAGUUCAUAGCAAUGUCUUGCUAUGAAUGAAUUAUGAUGUUGGUAUUUUCAUUUAUGGCAAAUCAUGUAUGCAGCCAGAAUAUUAUCACAAAACUAACAGGUGUAUUUUAAGAAAAUAUCCUUAUAACAGUGGAAACUGCAAUGUGGAACUAAAGUGGAACUGUGCCUUGUAAAUGAUUUUUAAAUAUAAGACAAGGUUAUUUAAAAUAGAUGUUUUAUUACAAAUUACCGUUACCUUGUUCCACUUGGCAUUGUGUGUACAUUUAAUUGAGCUGCAAAAUACCUUUAUUUUAUUCUCUGUCUUUUGAUCUGCAUUCGUCACAACACAACAACCAUCAGAUCCUUUUAAUACCAGAAAUAAAGAGAACAAGCAUCAUUUCUUCCUGAAAUCGUCUAUACCAAACAUGUCCUGAGACCCUUAGAGUGUAGAGUUUAUGGCUUAUGUUUGGCUUUUUCUAAGUGUAUAUAUGUGGAACUAUAUAACUAUCAUGGAAAGAAACAUCUCAAGAUGAAAACACACCUGUCUUUCAGGUGUCAAAGCAACAAAACCAAUUCUGGAAAGACACACAGUUGGAACUAUCUGGGGCCUGAUUUUGAGCACGAGGGCCUUAGAUAUCAGAAACAUAGU